GAUAAACCCCACCCUAGAAGAAAUAACUGUUUUAUUUAACUUUAAACUCUGUAUUGUUGGGAAAGGUCGUUAGCAAACAUUUCACGAAAAACUCUACUUUAGUUACAUUCGGCGCAUGUGACAAAUGGAAUUAGAUGUUGUAUUUGAUAGGUUUUUAUUAAAAGUAUGAAUUUCAGGACCGCAGUUGGAACUGUACAAUUUUACAAGAAUCGACUGAUGGUGUCUAAAUGUUGUAAAUCCAGCUACCAGUUAUCAAAACUCAACUCCGCCUCGAUAUAAGAGAACGGAGUUGACCGGUCCUCGACUACAUUCAUGUGGACCACCCCGAAAUGGACGAGUUUAGGAAGAUGUUUUUCAGUUACAGGGAAACCGGGAUAGCGAAGCGGGUGGUGAAUGAGGAGAAGUCUCCUGUUGGUCCCUGGUUACUGGCCCUCUUUGUCUUUGUGGUGUGUGGAUCAGUAUCGGGAUAUCCUGUCUUUACAACUGGAGGACACAGAGAACUGGCUGUAUGAAGACGGAGAGGACCAACCUAAACAACAGUACAUCGACAAACUGGCCGUGCUGAAGAAACUGGGCCAGCCUAUCCAGGAGAGGUACAUGGAGUCUGAGGAAAGACCCAGAGCCUUCGAUGACAUGGGGAAACAGAUCCAGAUGUACAUGAAGAUCGUUGAAGCUUAUUUACUCAGUACUUUGUUCAUGCACCUUUGGCAGUCUUUGGUAUGAUGCUGCAAGCUGGAUGAUAGCGGGGUGAACAGUGAACAUGGACCAUUCAUAAAAAAUCCAUCUUCCAGAUCAUCCAGAGUAUCAGGCAGGGGUUGUGAUGGUUGUCACCCAGAUCAGAGCCUCCUCCCCUGGAAGAACACCAACAGCCUCACCCCAUCCCUGCUCCAGCCACAGACAGACAUCCGGCCCAGUGUUCUCCAUUUACUCAUACACACCCCCCUCCUCUCUGUGUCGAGUUAAAACAUUUUAGGGUUCCUGAGUGGCGCAGCGGUCUAAGGCACUGCAUCUCAGUGGUAGAGGUGUCACUACAGCCCCUGGUUUGAUCCCAGGCUGUAUCACAACUGGCCGUGAUCGGGAGUCCCAUAGGGCGGUGCACAAUUGGCCCAGCGUCGUCCGGGUUUGGGGUGGGUUUGGCCGUGGUAGGCCGUCAUUGUAAAUAAGAAUUUGUUCUUAACUGACUUGCCUAGUUAAAUAAAGGUUAAAUAAUUAAACAUCAGCUGACACACACAUCUUCCCCGUCCAGUCUCUGUCAAGUUUAACAUCAGCAGGUUCUCCAUACUGUGAAUUAGAUCACCCAGUCUCUGUCAAGUUUAACAUCAGCAGGUUCUCCAUACUGUGAAUUAGAUCACCCAGUCUCUGUCAAGUUUAACAUCAGCAGGUUCUCCAUACUGUGAAUUAGAUCACCCAGUCUCUGUCAAGUUUAACAUCAGCAGGUUCUCCAUACUGUGAAUUAGAUCACCCAGUCUCUGUCAAGUUUAACAUCAGCAGGUUCUCCAUACUGUGAAUUAGAUCACCCAGUCUCUGUCAAGUUUAACAUCAGCAGGUUCUCCAUACUGUGAAUUAGAUCACCCAGUCUCUGUCAAGUUUAACAUCAGCAGGUUCUCCAUACUGUGAAUGUCUCCAGGACUUUCUUUUUUAACAUUGUAUUGUUAAUGUUGAAAUAUGAAAUGUCUUAUGUAGUUCUUGAAAGAACCAUUUUUUUUAUGGAUCUUAAUGUUGGUUCUCCUGUCUCAUCUGAGCUGUACUCUGUAACACUGAUCCCAGGUCAGUUUGGUAUUGGUCCCACUGAUGGUUACUGUUGGGAUGUGGGGAGAGAACCACUGCUCUAGGUUCAGUCUCAUCGUGUUAGUCCAGUAGACUGACUGACUGCUGUGACAUGAUCUGUCCUUGUUUUUGAUAUCUCCCUUGUAUGAUCACAUCCCUCUGAUAUCUCCCUUGUAUGAUCUGAUAUCUCCCUCAUCGCUCUGUUCCCUUAUCCUGCCAUCUCCCCUCUCUCCUGUGUGUGUGUCUGUAUCUAGGAAGUUUUCAGUCUGUUUUCAACUGUUUUACUGUCUUCAGUUGUCUUCUACACUGGCCGUUCUGUUACUGUGGUAUCUACGUGCUGAAUGGCCAGUGUGUGUGUGUGUGAAGCAGCACUCCCUAGAGGCAGACACCUCUCCUGAACACCCAGAGUGUGAACGUGUGUGUCAGUCCACCUCCCUCCUGUAAAACGCUAUGCAAAUGAGUUUUAUACAAAUAAAACAGAUUUUUUUUCUCUAAA